ACGAUGAGUGUGUAAAGUUUACGAAAGAAGAGGACGAGAGACCAUGAAAUGGCAAGAGGCUGAGAUCAUUGUCUUAUCUUAAAAAGAAAAAAUACUUGAUGAUCAAAAGGAACAAGAUGAUAUCAUUCACAGACACUCAAAUAAGUCCUUCUUUUCAGUUUGGUCAGAGAGUGAACUAACAAUUAUGGCGAAGAUGAUGAUGUUGCAACAGAGCCAGCCUUCUUUCUAUCUUCUUACUUCUUCUCUAUCUGACUUUAAUAGCGCUAAGCUCCAUUUACAAGUCCAGGUUCUUCUUCUUUUCUUUAUUGUGAGGAUAACCGUGGUCAAUAAUGAAUGUCAUGUCCAAAAGUCGGACAUGGCGGUUCUAAAAUUUUGAAGACUAUAAACAAUUUAGUAAAAAAAUUUGCUAGAAUCUUGGGGGGCUAUGUUAUUUCCAAAUUUCGGAUGUUAUAGGCCCAUGUUUCAUUUGGCUAUGCUCAAAACCACCUUUGGAUGUGGGUUCUAGUCUAAGCUCUGAGUUCAUAUUUGAAUAUAGCUUUAUGAAAAUUUGGAGCCAAGAUUUUGCUUACGUAGUUAUAGCUUUAUCAUUGAAACGACGGUGCAAGAGGAAGGUUAAUCAACCAAAAGGAACACUCUAUGUUUCAGCAACGAGUGAAAAGAAUAUUCUUAUAAUGGGCGGCACUCGGUUCAUCGGUGUGUUCUAGUCCAGGCUCUUUGUCAAAGAGGGACAUCAGGUUCUUUUCCUGACCUAGCAAAACUGUCUUCUCAGCUACAAAAAAAAUAUUGGGGUUACAUUGUUCACAAGAGGUAAAUCUCCUAUUGCCCCCAAACAAUUGCCUGGUGAAUCUGACCAAGACUUUGCUGACUUUUCUUCCAAGAUUCUUCACUUGAAAGGAGACAGUAAGGACUAUGACUUUGGGAAGUCAAGUCUUUCAGCAGAAGGCUAUGAUGUUGUUUAUGAUAUCAACGGAAGAGAGGCAGAAGAAGUUGAGCCCAUAAUAGGUGCACUGCCUAAGCUAGAACAGAAGGCACGCCCCUUCACUGCCACGCGUCAAAGGAUGAUUGGUGAGAGGAGUGGUGGUCUCUCGGUGUCUCCGCGUUUCUUCUUUCUCUCUUCUUUUCUCUUUCUCUCAUCUUUCUCUUCUCUUCUAGGCGACGAAAAUGGCGAUUUCUCUUCUUCUUCUUUGUGUUUCUCCUCAACGAAACUCCCUCUCGUUGGCUUGUGUCGACGAAGUUACAGACGGCGUCCCCUCUAUCGGUUGGUGUCCUGUACCGAGGAAGACGGGGGAUUGAUCAACUGGCAUCAUCGAGGAUAAACCUUGCUCUCUGUCAGACAAAACCCUCAGGAUUGUUGAUAAAGGUAGUCAAGGAGGGGAAGCAUCAAGCGGCUUUGAUGGAGACACGCCUGCAGAGCCAAAAGGAAGACAGAGAUGGACAGCAUCUGAUGAUGUUGUGCUCAUCAGCGCGUGGCUAAACACGAGCAAAGAUCCCGUGGUUAACAACGAGCAAAGAGCAGGCGCAUUUUGGAGAAGAGUUGCUGACUACUAUGCUGCAAGUCAGGAGGCUACUGCAACUCAGAGAGAGCCAAAGAACUGCAAGCAUCGAUGGCACAGAAUCAAUGACGAAGUCUCCAAGUUCUGUGGUGCGUAUGAAGCGGCUACUAGGGAGAAAACAAGUGGCCAAAACGAGAAUGAUGUACUCAAGAAUGCUCAUCGCAUAUUCCUCGCCAUUAAGAAUAAGAAGUUCACACUGGAACACGCAUGGAAGGAGCUCCGCUACGACCAGAAGUGGUGUGACCUUGGUACUGCUAAGACCAAUGGGAGGUCGAAGAAGAGGAAGUGUGACGACGUUGCAGAAUCAUCUCCCUCGGAAGCUACUGCAAACAAGCAUCCUCCUGGUAUUAAAGCUGCAAAGGCGAGUGGUAAGAAGAAGGUGCAAUCACUGGGCGAGUUUGAGAGUAUGUGGACAAUCAAGCGUGAGGAUUUGAAAAUGAAACAGGGUAACCAUAGGAUGAGUCUGCUUGACAAGCUUAUGGGCAAAAAGGAACCUCUAACGGAGAGUGAGGAAGCCCUCAAGCAGAAGCUCAUCGAUGACAUGAUGUCUCCUUAGGUGAAGAGAGUGGAGACAGUGAGUGUCACAAGAGUGUUGUUGUCUUCUGUCACGAGAGUGACUGUGUGUGUGUGUUGUUGUCGUCUUGUGUCACGAGAGUGACUGUGUCUUGUGAGGUCACGAGUGUUGUAGUCUAGUGUCUACUGUCUGUCUUGUGAGUUUGUCUGUUGUAGUCGAAUGUUAUAAAUUCAAACAAUAUGAUGAAGUUAUUGUUAUCAUUUCUCUCUAUUUUCAUCUUGUGAGUUUGUGUCUUUUACGUUCUUGUUCUUCUUUGUAAUUCUCAUCAAACUCCAAUCCCAUAAACCAUCCUCAUCAAACUCCAAUCUCAUCAACCAUUCAAACCAAACUUUAAAGCAAACCAAACUUGAUUCUCAAAAAUCACAUGGCGUCUUCUUCUCAUAACGAUGUUGAGGGUGAUAUUGAUGAAGCUUUCGAUGAUUAUUUUGAUCAAUAUUUUGAUCAAGCAUUCGAGAAUUUGGUGGAUGCUUACGGUGAUCAACAAGACGGAGAGAAGACAAGAAAAAAAAGAGUUUUUAUCGAAAGAAAUCGUGAAGAAGGUCACCGCCGGUUAUGGAAUGAUUAUUUCAGUGAGACUCCCACAUAUGAAGAAAAUCUAUUCCGACGACGAUUUAGAAUGAGCAGACCAUUGUUCAUGCAUAUUGUUACUCGCCUCUCCAAUGAAGUUGAAUUCUUUCGUCAGAAGAAAGACGUUACCGGAAGGUCUGGUCUCUCUGCACUUCAAAAGUGUACAGCAGCUAUUCGUGUGUUGGCAUAUGGUUCUGCGCUCGAUGCGGUAGACGAAUACAUCCGGCUUGCCGCAACCACUGCUCGGUUAUGUGUGGAGAAUUUUGUGGAAGGAAUAAUUCAAUUGUUCGGCGAUGAGUAUCUAAGAAGACCAACACCGGCUGAUCUUCAACGUCUACUUUAUAUUGGAGAGCACCGUGGAUUUCCCGGGAUGAUAGGAAGCAUCGACUGUAUGCAUUGGGAGUGGAAGAAUUGUCCUGGCGCUUGGAAAGGGCAAUUUUCUCGAGGUUCGGAUAAACCAACUAUCGUUUUAGAGUCGAUUGCUUCAUAUGAUCUCUGGAUAUGGCAUGCGUUUUUUGGAUCUCCAGGUACCUUCAAUGAUAUCAAUGUUCUUGAUCGCUCACCUGUUUUUGAUGACAUAAUAUAUGGUCGAGCUCCGCAAGUGAAUUUCUCGGUGAACGGAAAUCCUUAUUCAAUGGCUUACUAUCUCACCGAUGGUAUUUAUCCGAAGUUGUCAACUUUUAUCCAAUCUAUUUUACUGCCACAAGGUCCGAAAGCGGCUUUAUUUGCUCAAUUUCAAGAAGCUACGAGAAAAGAUGUCGAGCGUGCUUUCGGAGUCUUGCAAGCUCGAUUUGCCAUUGUUAAAAAUCCAGCACGCUGAUGGGAUAAAGACAAGAUCGGGAAGAUUAUGAGAGCAUGUAUCAUACUCCAUAAUAUGAUAAUAGAAAACGAACGAGAUCUACACCCUCAAAUUGAUGUUUCCAGUGUUACCAAUUUCUUUCAAGGAGAAGGCAGCGGAAGUUCACAUAUCGAUCUCACAUUUUCUACAAAUAACCUUUCAAGUAUCCCUGAUGAGAUAGGUGUUCGAAGAAAUAUUCUUGAUAAACAACUGCAUCAACAGCUCAAACGUGAUUUAGUUGAACAUAUAUGGCGUAAAUUUGGGCGUCAUCAAGACAACAACUAAGUACAUCUACUGUUCUUCAGCUGGUGUUUAUCUGAAGUCAAAUAUAUUGCCACACCGUGAGGUGGAUGCAGUUGACCAGAAGAGCAGGCACAAGGGGAACCUGGAGACAGAGAGCUUACUGCAAUCAAAAGGUGUCAACUGGACUUCUAUACGUUCUGUCUACAUCUACGGUCCAUUGAACUACAACCCCGUUGAAGAAUG